rnacentral:rRNA from 1 species
AUUGAACGCUGGCGGCAGGCCUAACACAUGCAAGUCGAGCGGAGCUACGGGCGGGCGAGUAAUGCCUAGGAGUCUGCCUUGUAGUUGGGGAUAGCGUCCGGAAACGGGCGCUAAUCCCGCAUACUAUCAGAUGAGCCUAGGACGGAUUAGCUAGUUGGAUGGGUAAAGGCCUACCAAGGCGACGAUCCGUAACUGGUCUGAGAGGCUGAUCAGUCAAACUGGAACUGAGACACGGUCCAGACUCCUACGGGAGGCAGCAGUGGGGAAUAUUGGACAAUGGGCGAAAGCCUGAUCCAGCAAUGCCGCGUGUGUGAAGAAGGUCUUCGGAUUGUAAAGCACUGUAAGUUGGGAGGCGUUACCAACAGAAUAAGCACCGGCUAACUUCGUGCCAGCAGCCGCGGUAAUUC